CGCCGUCCCACACAGAACCGCCCCCUGCGUCCCGGGCGCGCCGCGUCUGGUUGGGGCGGAGGCCGCCCAACUUUUCGGGACACUUAAAUGCUGCUGUUGAGACCCGUGGUCCUUCCCACCACCGACCUCCUUUCAUCCCCUUCAGUUGAAACCAUCCCUUUUAUUGAUGAUUCUGGAGAGAUUUGAUGUAUUGCCAUCAUUGAUGAACUGCCUGACUCUACCAGCUUUGGCUAUGUGGAUAUGCUACAACAGCAAUAAGUAAGUAACAACAGAUUUUCAGUGUUGUAGAGAAUUAAAUAAUCCUCUCUAGGCCAGCAAAGCUGCUUGGCAAGAUUGUGUCACAUAAAGCAAUACAUGCAACAUCAGCCACACAGACAUACAGAAUGAAAGAGGAUGGGGAGGAGCAAAAAUGAACGUUUUAAGAGUGCCUGGGUGCUCAGUCAGCUGAGUGUCAGAUUUUGGUUUUGACUCAGGUCAUGACCUCAUGGGUCAUGAGAUCAAGCCAUUUAAAUCAGAUAUAGUUCCACUCAGUGGUCAAGGACCUGGGCUUUGGCAUCAGACAGACCUCAAUUCAAGCAUGGCCUCCACCAUUAAAGCUCAUGGGACAACAGGCAAGUUACUCAACUACUUUAAGCUUUGUUAUUAUUCUUUGUAGAAUGAAAAAAAUAAAGAUGCUACUCAUGAUGCUUAGCGCUUAGUCCCAUGCUAAUGGUAAAUCCUUAAUAAAUAUCAAUUUAAUAUUAAUACUAAGUUUUAUCAUCACUGACCAACUUUCAAUCACCAGAGUCACUCUUUGCCUUUAAGCUUUAUCUGAUAUGGUUUCCUGUCUGAAAUGACUCAUUGUUUCUCUUCACAGCUCAGAGUCCUACAUUUGUAUUUGUAAUCACCCCUUAAGGAAGUCUGUUUAGAGUAAUUUUUUAAAAAAGAUUUUUAUUCAUUCGUGAGACACACACACACACACACACACACACAGAGGCAGAGACACAGGCAGAGGGAGAAGCAGGCUCCUUGCAGGGAGUCCGACGUGGGACUCGAUCCCGGGACUCUAGGAUCACGCCCUGGGCAAAAGACAGGCACCAAACCGCUGAGCCACCCAGGGAUCCCCAAGUUAGUGAUUCUUUCAAUGGACAGACUAGGAUUCAGAACUGAUGAUCAACAGUAUUUCCAAGAACAGCCCACAGUAAAAUCAGGAGGCCCACAGCGCACACAGUUGGGGAACAUUUUGGAGAAGACACCAGGUGGAGGAAAAAAUAAGGCUUACCUUCAUGAUCGACCUGUGACUUAGUGAAAGCUGCCCUUGAGCAAAAGUGAGUAUUGUAAACUUUGGGGUAGUUGAGCUAUGGAGCAAGACUUGGAUACUGACUGGAUUCUCAACAGUAAUAGAAUAUAGAAAAGGAGAGGAGAGUCUUCUGUUGUGACUUCCCAGAGUGUAAUGAGUGCUUCAUAAAUAAAUGCUGUUGACUGACCCUUCAAAUGGGGGUGGGAAGAUGGAAAGGGUAUUAUUGUUGAAGGGGGAAGGAGGUAAGUGGUUAAUUUAUACAGGUUAAUUUAUACAUUUUUUUCCUCAGAGGAAACAACUAAUGGACCAAAUAAAACUAUCAUCUGCUUAUCUUUCCACAGUGGGAAGAAAGGAAAAAAAGAAAGAAAGAAAAAAAAAAGAGUUCUUUCUAAAAACCAUUUGGCCCAGGGCAUGAUCCCGGAGUCCUGGGAUCAAAUCCCACAUCAGGCUCCCUGCAUGGAGCCUGCUUCUCCCUCUGCCUGUGUCUCUGCCUCUCUGUGUCUCUCUGUGUGCCUCUCAUGAAUAAAUAAAUAAAAUCUUAAAAAUAAAUAAGUAAAAUAAAAUAAAAAAUAAAGACCAUAUUCUGCUCCCAGUAGUAAUAGACAGAGCUAGAACUACAAGUAAAAUUGGCUUGCAUUUAGUGAAAACAUGUAAUUAUAUCACAACCAAAGCUCUGAAAACUCAAGAUAUUCAGUGGAAAGAACUCUCAGAGACAUUUACUAUCAUGAUCGAAGUAAAAUAAAAGCAUUAAAACAAUAAAAAAUAUUUUCCAAAUGAAUCCAGUGACACUCAGCUAAUUUCAUGUUACUUCACAUCAAUAAAUAAAAAAACACAUCAAGAAAUCUGUACCUUAAGUAAGCAAUGAUGUUAUAAAUAUGAAUGAAAGAGCUCUGAACUAUUUCCAACUUUGCUUCUGAAAUUCCUUUGGUCUGACGGUAGAACGUAUUAUUUCCUGUUCUCAUACUCCGUGGGAAGUAGCACACCCAUUUCAAUCUUCGUCACUUUUUUCCUGUAUCAACAUCCACGGGAGGAAUUAUUUUGGCACUGCCCACCCUAGGUUGCUAUCUCAGAUCCAGAAGCCAUCUGGCAAGGAGUCCCAAACUUUUGUCAGAAUUACCUGGAGAGCCUGUUACUAUGCUGGGAUCUUUUCCAGAUACAG
rnacentral:lncRNA from 1 species